UGCCCUGGAGUGGGGGAUAACUAGUCGAAAGACUAGCUAAUACCGCAUACGAUCUACGGAUGAAAGUGGGGGAUCGCAAGACCUCAUGCUCGUGGAGCGGCCGAUAUCUGAUUAGCUAGUUGGUGGGGUAAAGGCCUACCAAGGCAUCGAUCAGUAGCUGGUCUGAGAGGACGACCAGCCACACUGGGACUGAGACACGGCCCAGACUCCUACGGGAGGCAGCAGUGGGGAAUUUUGGACAAUGGGGGCAACCCUGAUCCAGCAAUGCCGCGUGAGUG
rnacentral:rRNA from 1 species